GCCUGGAUAGCUCAGUUGGUUAGAGUACGGUGUUGAUAACGCUAAGGUUACAGGUUCGAUUCUCGCAUGAGACA